rnacentral:rRNA from 1 species
CUAUCUGCAGUCGACGACUCUGGUAUUGAUUGGUGCUUGCAUCAUGAUUUACAUUUGAGUGAGUGGCGAACUGGUGAGUAACACGUGGGAAACCUGCCCAGAAGCGGGGGAUAACACCUGGAAACAGAUGCUAAUACCGCAUAACAACUUGGACCGCAUGGUCCGAGUUUGAAAGAUGGCUUCGGCUAUCACUUUUGGAUGGUCCCGCGGCGUAUUAGCUAGAUGGUGGGGUAACGGCUCACCAUGGCAAUGAUACGUAGCCGACCUGAGAGGGUAAUCGGCCACAUUGGGACUGAGACACGGCCCAAACUCCUACGGGAGGCAGCAGUAGGGAAUCUUCCACAAUGGACGAAAGUCUGAUGGAGCAACGCCGCGUGAGUGAAGAAGGGUUUCGGCUCGUAAAACUCUGUUGUUAAAGAAGAACAUAUCUGAGAGUAACUGUUCAGGUAUUGACGGUAUUUAACCAGAAAGCCACGGCUAACUACGUGCCAG